rnacentral:lncRNA from 1 species
GCAAAUUUUGCUCUGUAGAUUCAGUAACAAAAAAAAAAAAAAAAAUGCAUUUAGAGAUCCUAGCAGGUCUGGGAUAUUAUCAUCUAUUUGUUUCCACUGGAUGCAUGCUACAUAACCAACAGCUCUAUAACUUGCUAUAGUAAUGGAAAAAUAAUUGUCUAAGUGAUGAAUUUUCUCCAAGAGGAAAAACGAGCAAGAGCAAGGAAACCUAACCAGGCCUGAACAAUAAAGUAGCAGGAGCAGAUGGUAGAGCCUUGUGAUGAGAAGGUAGAAUGUUAUUUUCCUUUGCGGUGUAGGCAUGGAAGAAGGGUCCCCAACCUUGGGAGCUGAAUUGCAGUGUAGAUGGAAGAAGCCAGCUGCAGCAGUCUUACUGGCCUUUGGUAAAGGAAGCAGCUUGUUCAAGUCCAACCAUUUUGUUUGUUUGCAUGUUCUGCAACUGCACAGCUUGGGCAAUACCAUCAGUUUAAAGAAGACGUAAGUAAAGCGAUGGAGAAGAGAAGACAAAGUACAGGUAUAUCCAAGAGGUGACUAUAAUUGUCAGGCUGAAAAUCUAUUUUAAAUUAGUAUCUGAGGCAUAAU